rnacentral:rRNA from 1 species
UCGAGAAUCUUCGGCAAUGGGCGCAAGCCUGACCGAGCGACGCCGCGUGGAGGACGAAGGCCUUCGGGUUGUAAACUCCUGUCGAGGGGGAAGAAGGCCGGGUAACGGGCUUGACUGAUCCCUGGAGGAAGCACGGGCUAAGUUCGUGCCAGCAGCCGCGGUAAGACGAACCGUGCGAACGUUAUUCGGAAUCACUGGGCUUAAAGCGCGUGUAGGCGGGACGGCACGUCGGUCGCUGAAAUCCCCCGGCUCAACCGGGGAACGGGCGCCGAUACGACCGCCCUGGAGGGGCGUAGGGGGACCUGGAACUUCCGGUGGAGCGGUGAAAUGCGUUGAGAUCGGAAGGAACGCCCGUGGCGAAAGCGAGGUCCUGGACGCCUACUGACGCUGAGACGCGAAAGCCAGGGGAGCGAACGGGAUUAGAUACCCCCGUAGUCC